AUUUUUGUUAACAUUAAAAUUUUCGAAAAUAGCAACAAAACAUUCCAAUCCAAAUAUUCCAAAAAGAAAAAUAUUCCAAUUGGGUGUGGAAAACAAGGCGAAUUUUGAAGAAAAUAUGUAUAAAAAGUCUAAUUUCACUAGCUUUCAAUAAAUAUUGUUAGUUGUCCAACAAACUUGCUGGGUACAGUUAAUUGUUCUAUCGCAUGUAUUGCUUGAAGACUCCGCCUCCGCUCAAGUGAACUGAGAAGAAAUCCCGAGACAUCCCUAACGCGCCAUCCACUCGCUUUAUACCAGCCAGUAGAAUGCGCCAGCUUAGGCCAAUUUCCCAUCGCAGACGGCAGCUGAAUUCACAGCCGAAAAUGAUGGGAAAGUUAUUGGUAAGCUGUGAUCUACUGUCAUGUCAAUCUUGAACCCCGUCCCAAAUUAAUUGUCUAUCUCAAGAGUGAUAAGUGACGUCAAUGUGGUGGCUAUAAUUUCACAUGGUGCAUUAUCAUCCAGGGGAUUUUUAUGCUUUUCUAUA